CGUCUCACUUCAACUUCUCAAUAUAUACAUCCUUAACACAUUAAAAAAACAUGAAACAUAAAAAAACAAAACUAAGUUAUCCCAAACCGAAACACCUUCUUCAUCAUCUUGCUUCAACAUCGCCGUCGAGCUUCGACAUAGCCUUCUUCUUCAUCUUGCUUCAACACCGCCGUCGAGCUUCGACAUAGCUUCUUCUUCAUCUUGCUUCAACACCGCCGUCGACACUUCGUCGAGCUUCGACAUAGCCUUCUUCUUCAUCUUGCUUCAACACCGCAGUGCGUCUGGAAGGAAGAGCGAAGUUCAACAAUGGCAGACUCGAGUUCCAAUGCCACCAACGCAGGCUCUCAUUUCCUACCAACGGUUACAUUAUUCGACUGGUGGCUCGUUAAAUCCCCAGAUAACCGUUUAUGCAUCUCCGGCAACGCUUCCAGAAAGGGAGAAGCCGUUCGCGUGUUUAAUUCUUCUCCUAUUGUCGAAAGAUACGAUGUGUAUUCCCUUAAGAAUGCCGAGGGUAUAUACAUUUUCAUUAGGGGUAUCAUCAAUGAGGAACGCACCCGCGAAAAAGUGCUACCUUCUUUUCUACUUUAUGCUCAGAUUUUCAAUAGUUUUUACAUUGGCUUUCCUCCAAACUGGGAAACUUGUUGGGUUUUACAUUGUAUCAGAGAAGAACAAGUAGAACCUGGUACUGAUUCAGUCAAUGCUGCUAUGGAUAAUGUAUCUCCAAUUUGUCAAGACAUUUUGUCUGACGAUGAGGAAGAAUCAAUUUCUGUUUUGUCGAAAUUGCCUGAAGAAGCCCCAAAAAAUAACCAGACACCAUUCCCUGGAGAUGAAUGCCAAGUCUCAAAGGAGACGAGUGGGGUAAAUGUUGCUUGUGGUGGUGGUGUAAUUAGACGUAGUACCAGGUUGCAUAGUAUUAACGUCUGUCAGCAGAAGAAGAUAGAGAAGCAGCAGCCUACGUAUAGAGGUCCUCUCAAGCAUCCACAUGAAGAGCCAAGCUCUACCUCCAAGGUAGUGGAGAAUCGUGAUUCGGAUACUGUGCAUCUUGAUAAUGUAUCAGCAAAUUUUCCAGAAAUAUCAUCUCGUGCAGUGGAAAAUUCUUUUCCUACUUCUUUGGUAACACCAGAAAAGGCCAUGGGACAUUGCAAUAAGUUAUUCCCUGAAGGUGAAGAAGAUAUGUCAAUUAAGACGAACGAGGCCAAUGUUGUUCAUGGUAGUGGCGGGCAUAGACGUAGUGCCCGACUGCAUAAUGUUAAAUCCUUCCAGAAGAAGCAACCUGCUACUGGAGGUCCAGCAACACGUCGAGGUAAAGACCAGAUCUCUGCCUCAGCAACCAUAGAAAAGAGUGAUGGAGGGCUGGAAAAUCUAUCGACACCCGUUCAGUCACAAAGUGGAAUAGUAAACACGCCGUCUGGGAAGGUCACUAAUAAAUUCAGAUCCAAAACUUCUUCAGCAAAAACUGAUGCUUCAGCAAAAACUGAAGUGGAUCAUAAGAAAAAGAAGGUGACAGUUGAAACAGAAGCGGUGAAUCCCAAGAGAAAAGAUUUGAAACCCCCAUCUUCUGUAAAAUCUCCACAGGGAAGGGAUGUAAGUCACUUGAACAAGGGAAGUAAACAGGGACUGUCCAUGGUUUCUCCAGAGUCAUUGAGUCUUAAAAAAUCCAGAUCUGGUAGGUUACUUCUACCUUCCAUGGAGUUUUGGCGCAAUGAAAUACCCAUUUAUAAUGCGGACCGUGGGAUUAAAGAAAUUCAGCAAGACUCGACUUUGACAUCACCUUUUAGAUGCUUUUCGCCAUUACCUUUUAGAGGCUUUUCGCCAUCACCGGGCAGGUUUUGAACUUCUGAUUCUGGAGUUCUGGAUAUUGUUUGGAAAAUCACAGCAGUCACAUUUUGAAGAGUAAAAAUAACACCCAAACAUGGAUUUCCUUCGAAGAAGAGGGGGCUGUAGAUUUGAGAUCAAUCAGAGAGGAGGUCAAUAAACCUCCCAGCUCCAGCGCAAUGGUGUUUCAAAGAUCUGCACACUUCCAUAUCAACCUUGACACUUCCAUAUCAACCUUGCGUUAUCACAACCUUUAAAAACAUGCCACUCAUUCUCUUAAGUCGCAAUAUACUCACCCGGUUUCCCAGAAGCCAUAUAACAUAACAAUAGUUUAAUUUUAUGUAAGUUGCAGUCCAGUGGGGACCUUGAAUUUGAAUCUUCCAUGUCAUUCGUAGGUGCUUAUAAUGCUUUUAUUUCCUCUUUGUUCCUUUGAUUGAAAAUUGUAUUUAUAAUGGUACAUGUAGUAUACCAUUUGAUUUAGGGGACGAGAUCAGAAUGUGCACAAUUCCUCUAGCAUUUAACAAAUGAAAAUUUAAUAAGUUUU